CGCGAUGAGGAGAAAUAACAGAAAUCAGUCGAAUUCACGAAGGAGUUUCUGUCCAGUGCGAUCAAACAAGAUCCAUUUAGGAAUGAAAAAGAUCAAAUGGAAUUCAGAAAAAUGACAGAGAAUCGCAGUUUGAUUUGAAAUGACGACAGAACCAGAGAGCCAAUCAGAGCAGCAGGGGGCCAGUGCGGCUCCGCCCCAUUCAGCCCCGCCCCUCGAUAACCAGCUUCCUCCUGCCGCCGCCCACAGCACACCUGUGAGGAAAGAGCAGGGCGGUGGAUUCCCGCAGGGGAAAGCCGAUCAGCAGUCGGUCGAGGACGACGGCACGUCACACUGGUCCUCCUCCAGUAAACUGACCCGAUCUCCGGUCAAAAUCAGCCGGAAACCCAAGAACAUGCAGUGCAAGGUGGCGCUUCUGGACGGCUCCGACUACACCUGCGUGGUGGAGAAGCGUGAUAAAGGUCAGGUUCUGUUCGACAAAGUCUGCGAACAUCUCAAUCUUCUGGAGAGAGAUUACUUUGGUGUCACGUUCCGUGAUGUGGAGAAUCAGAAGAACUGGCUGGAUCCUGCCAAAGACAUGAAGAAGCAGAUCAGAGGCGUCGCCUGGAGCUUCUCAUUCAACGUGAAGUUCUACCCUCCUGAGCCGGCGCUGCUUUCUGAAGACAUCACCAGAUAUUACCUGUGUUUACAGCUGAGGGAUGAUAUCGUAUCGGGUCGUCUGCCGUGUUCGUUCGCCACUCACACAGUUCUGGGUUCGUAUACGGUUCAGUCGGAGCUGGGCGAUCACGACCCGGACGAGUGCGGCUCUGACUACAUCAGCGAGUUUCGAUUCGCGCCUCAUCAGACCAAAGAGAUGGAGGAGAAAAUCAUGGACCUGCAUAAGAACUACAAAGGAAUGACGCCGGCUGAAGCUGAGAUGCAUUUUCUGGAGAACGUAAAGAAACUGUCUAUGUAUGGAGUUGACCUUCAUCAUGCAAAGGAUUCAGAGGGGGUGGAGAUCAUGUUGGGCGUGUGUUCCUCUGGGCUCCUCAUCUACCGCGACAGACUUCGCAUCAACCGCUUCGCCUGGCCCAAAGUCCUCAAGAUCUCCUACAAACGCAAUAACUUCUACAUCAAGAUCCGUCCAGGCGAGUUUGAGCAGUUUGAAAGCACGAUAGGCUUUAAACUACCCAACCACAGAGCGGCCAAGAGACUGUGGAAGGUUUGUGUGGAGCAUCACACGUUCUUCAGGUUGGUUUCUCCAGAGACUCCGCCUAAGAAGUUCCUCACACUGGGUUCUAAGUUCCGCUACAGCGGCAGAACUCAGGCUCAGACCAGACGGGCCAGUUCCCAGAUCGUCCGCCCAGCGCCGUACUUCGAGCGUUCGACCAGCAAGCGCUACACGAUGUCACGGAGUCUGGAUGGAGCUCAGCGGACGCCAAUCAACACAGCGACAGUCAAUGUAAAUGGCACUAGACCAACAGAGAUGGGUACGGCCUUGUACGGCGCGGCCAAAGGCAUUGCUAUGAGUGACCUCAUCACCACGGUAACGCCGGAGAAGAAAGUCGAGGAGACGCGUGAGGAGGAGCGUGAGGAGACUCAACCGGUGCUGGUGGAGAGUGUGUCGGUGCUGGAGGAAGAGGACGAGAGUACGAAAGCCACGGAACCAUCGCUGCCGAGCCCACUGACACCGGCCCGACAGGACACACGGACUGAUUUCACAGACACUGCUAUCGAUGGAGAUUUAACGGCCACCGAGUCGGAUCAGGAGGACGAAUCUGAAGCAAAGACGCAGCCCAGUUUCAUCAGGCGAAUUAAAGGAGAGAAUGUGUUUGUGAGACACAGUAAGCUGAUGUUAGAGGAGAUCGAGCGAACGCCAGACGAGCUGCUGAAGCAUCAGACCAACAUCAGCGAGCUGAAGCGGACGUUCCUGGAGGGAGAACCGGACCGGACGGGUCUGACCGAGUGGGAGAAGCGUCUGUCCUCGUCUCCGCUGCGAUCGCCGCGUCUGGACGAAGCGCCCAUGAUCGAGCCGCUGGAGCCGGACGAGGUCAAACAGGAAGCAGCGGUGGAGAUACAGGAAGUGGCCGCAGCAGCUGUGGAGCCGCAGGAAGAGAAGGUUGAUGUGGAGUCUGAUGGGUGGGUCAUUAUAAACAAGGUUCCUCCAUUUGAACCAGAUAAACUUCCUCCAGUCGAAGCAGAAACGGUUUCUCAUAAGAUACCAGAGAAGGUUUCUACCAUAGUACAAGAACAACAUCCUCCAGUUGAGCCAAAAAAACCCUCAUCCAUCGUAUCUGAAGAGCUUCCUCCAGAGAAAAUUCCUUCUAAGAUUCCAGAAAAGGUUCCUACCAUAGUACAGGAGACAUUUCCUCCAGAAAAACCUUCUUUGAUUGUAUCUGAGGAGGUUUCUCCAGAGAAAACUUCUCCGAAGGUACCAGAAAAGGUUUCUACAACAAUACAAGAAAAGUUUCCUGCAGAAAAACAAUUUUCCGUCGUAUCUGAAGAGCUUUCUCCAGAGAAAACUUCUCCGAAGGUACCAGAAAAGGUUUCUACAACUAUACAAGAAAAGUUUCCUGCAGAAAAACAAUUUUCCGUUGUAUCUGAAGAGCUUUCUCCAGAGAAAACUUCUCCGAAGGUACCAGAAAAGGUUUCUACAACAAUACAAGAAAGGUUUCCUCCAGAAAAACAAUUUUCCGUCGUAUCUGAAGGGGUUUCUCCAAGGAAAACUCCUUCUAAGAUACCUGUAAAGGUUUCUAUCAUAGUACAGGAGACAUUUCCUCCAGAAAAACCUUCUUUGAUUGUAUCUGAAGAGGUUUCUCCGAAGAAAAUUCCUCCAAAGGUACCAGAAAAGGUUUCUACGGUGGUCCACGGAAAGGUUGAACCCAUAAAGGUUCCUUCUGUUGGUUCUUCAGAGGAUGUUCCUCCUAAAGUACCACCAAAAGUCCCUCCGAAGGUUCCAGAGAAGAAACACAUCGCCAGCUACAGAUUCAUAUCCGCCUCGAGCACGGCGUCGUCCGGUGAACCUCCAGAAGAUAAACUCACCGGAUCUCAAGAGGGUUUGCAGAUCAGCAGAUCUUAUGAGUCCAGUAAGAUGCGUCUCCGCUCUCCACUCCGAUCUCCGGCGGAUCUCAGCAGAACGUCUCCCACGGCUCGAGUGCCUAAGCCCAGUUUUGAUGAGAUGUCUCCUGAGCUCACGGCGCUCUUGCAGUCCACUCGCAGCUGGACUCCGUCUGCGUCUGCGUCUGCGUCUGCGUCUCCCGCUCCGAUCGCGCAGACGGUCGUGGUACACAAGCCAUCAGAGAGUCCAGAGAGCCAUCCGGCUGAAGAAGAGGACCAGCCGCCGCCAGCGGAGGGACUUCAGCCUCAGUCGGGUGAGGUGAGUUUCUCCAGGACUCUGUCAGGAGACACGGACACGGAGGACACACCUGUGAUCCACACGGAGAUGAAGACCAUCACGUACGAGUCCCUGCAGGGCGAGACGGAUGGAGACGUUGAUCCUGGCAUUCUGCUGAGCGCUCAGACCAUCACAUCAGAAACCACCAGCACCACCACCACCACACACAUCACCAAGAUGGUGAAGGGCGGCAUCUCAGAAACACGGAUUGAGAAGAGAAUCGUGAUCUCAGGAGAUGCAGACAUCGAUCAUGACGAGAUCAGUUUAUGGUGAAUUUCAUGCUGAUGUUUCUACAAAAAAAUCAAGAUGGUGACUGUGGAUUUGUAGAAUGAUCCUGUAUGAACUCUAAUGACUGGAUUCAGCAGUUUGCAUCAAUUUUUAUCAUAAUUGUGACAGCAGUAAUUGGGGGCGUGGCCUGUGAUGUUGAUGUGUGUUGAGGGGCGUGGCUUGUGAUUGUGUGUUGGGGUUAUGGCCUCUGAUGGUGUGUGUGUGUGUGUGUUGAGAGGCAUGGAGUGGGUGUGACGGUGUGUGUGUGUUGAGGGGUGUGGCCAAUGAUUUUGAUGUGUGUAUGUUGGGGGCGUGGCCGGAGUGUUAGGGUUAGGGUUAGUGAGUGUGUGAGUGUGUGUGUUUGGGGGUGUGGCCUGUGGUGAUGAUGUGUGUGUUGAGGGGCAUGCCCUGGGAUGUCAGUGUGAGUUGGGGGGGGGCAUGUCAUGGUAAUGUAUGUGUAAGUUGGGGAUGUGGCCUGUGAUGGCGUGUGGGUGUUGAGUGGUGUGGGUGUGAUGGUGUGUGUGUGUGUGUGUGUGUGUGUUUGGGGGUGUGGCCUGUGGUGAUAGUGUGUUGAGGGGCGUGGCCUGUGAUUGUGAUGUGUGUGUUGGGGGUGUGGCCUGUGGUGAUGGUGUGUCGAGUGGCGUGGCCUGUGAUGUGUGAGUGUUGGAGGUGUGGUCUGUGAUGAUGGUGUAUGUUGAGGGGCGUGGCCUGUGAUUGUGAUGCGUUUGUUGGGUGCAUGGCCUGUGAUGAUGAUGUGUGUGUUGAGGGGCGUGGCCUGUGAUGUUGGUGUGUGUUAUGGGCGCGGCCUGUGAUGGUGAUGUGUGUGUUGGGGGUGUGGCCUGUGAUUGUGAUGCGUGUGUUGGGGGUGUGGCUGUGAUUAUAGGUGUGUUUGACUUCAUGCAGAGCAACCGCUUGCAGUCGGGGGCGGAAUUGAAAGCGGAGACGUGAAGUCGGACUCUUUCUGCUGCCGGUAGUGAUGCUCUCGCGGUGUUUGGAUACUCUAUCACAGAUGAAGUGAAUAACAUGCAAUAUUUGUCAAAUGCACGGAUGUUUCAGAAAUGUUUUCAUGAGCAACAGAAACACUUUUUAUAUCCUGCUUAAUACAGGGCCAUCUGUUCAAGAAUAAAGUUCAACAUAAACAUGUACUAUUUAAAUACCAAUAAGCCUUUAUCAGUGUUUUUUUAUUAUUAAAUGUGACUCAUUAUAACAUUGUGACUAUACAGUAAAAAAAUCUUUUACUGUUCUAAAAACAGAUUUGUGGGCAGUAUUUUUUUUAUUAUUAUGCAAAAAUUAUACAAAGGUUUGUACAAGCAUAUACAACUCACAACAAGUACAAAAACAAAUAAACAUUCAUAAGAAUAUGUAAAGUCUCUUUCGACAGCACUUGACUUUCUCUUUACUUAUUCCUUCCUUCGGUAGUUUGUAUUUAUUUGAACAAUGCCUGAGACUUGGUGUUGCAAGCACUUCGUCUGUCUGAUUGCCUCUUCAAGAUGAAUUGCUUUAUGUAUUCCCCAAUUGUAAGUCGCUUUGGAUAAAAGCGUCUGCAAAAUGACUAAAUCUAAAUCUAAAUCUAAAGUGAAACAAUUCAUGCCAGGGGUAAAAUUACAACAAUUUAAAGUAACAAAAAGCUUCAUAGGUCUUUCUUGCUUUUUUGUUCUUAAUUUUAUCUAAUGUAGUACCAUUUGUUUAAUCUCUUUUUAUAAAAUGUUCAAAGUUUGGCUUAGCUUCCAUUUUUUCACACGAUUGUGAUAUUUUCCUAGUAAAAUAAUAUUUGUGAGCAGUAUUGGAUUUGAAGAUGUUAGAAACACACGUCAUUGUUGUCAUGUGGUGAAUUUGGCCAAUCGUGAAACAGCUGUGUCGUCAUCAGCGCUCCCGCAGUCGCUCUGGAGAAACUGCGCCAGGUGAGUCAGCCGGCUGCUCUCGAAACGCUCUCGCGGUACUUUGAUGCCACACGUGACAGUGACGUGGAGACAAAUUUUCUAACCGGCAUGCACUGCUUCAAGUCAGCCGCCGAUCGGUUUUCAUGGCACCGCAUGAAGUUGAACACACUAGUUUGUGUGUUGAAGGGCGUGGCCAGUGAUGUGGGUGUGUGUGCUGUGGGCGUGGCUUGUGAUGAAGUGUGGGUGUUAAGGGGCGUGGCCUGUGAUGAUGAUGUGUGUGUUGAGGGGAAUGGCCUGUGAUGGUGAUGUGUGUGCGUGUGUUGGGGGCGUGGCCUGUGAUGGUGAUGUGUGUGCGUGUGUUGGGGGCGUGGCCUGUGAUGGUGAGGUGUGUGUUGGGGUGUGUGGCCUGUGAUGGUGAUGCGUGUGUUGAGGGGCAUGGCCUGUAAUGGUGAUGUGUGUGUGUUGGAGCGUGGCCUGUGAUGGUGAUGUGUGUGUUGGGGGUGUGACCUGUGAUGGUGAUGUGUUGGGGGUGUGGCCUGUUAUGGUGAUGUGUGUGUUGGGGGUGUGGCCUGUGAUGUGAUGUGUGUGUUGGGGGAUGUGGCCUGUGAUGACAAUGUGGUGUCACUGUGGGUCAGGCUCUGGCCCAGGCCAUUAAAGAGGCUAAAGAACAGCAUCCCGACAUGUCAGUGACCAAAGUGGUGGUGCAUAAAGAGACGGAGAUCACGCCGGAGGAGUGAUGCAGGAUUAACAUCAUCUUCAUGCUUUCUGGAGGAACUCAUGUGUUCACGCUGUGCAAAAUGAAGGAUGCUUGAGAGAAAUCAACAUGGAAAAAGCAGCAUAAACGAAUGAAUCGCAGCAAACGUCAUCUGAACACGUCUGGAGUAACGCACACACACACAUGCUUACAGGCGCAGCACUGGAUCACUGUUACUGCAUGACAAGGGAACAAUUCUGCUUUUUGUGAGGAGACUACAGUAUAUAGACAUUUUAGUAAAUACUAUAUGAGCGCAGUGUAUAGUCAAACCACAAGCUCGUCAUAAAUGGACUGAAGAAUAUGUGUGAGAAGAAAUAUAACAGUUACAGAUACCUACAUUUAUUUAUUCUACUGAUUACUGCUCACUUUAAAAAAGGACAAACUUUGCACAAUAUUUAACCGCGCAAAGAUGUGCCAUUCACACUCCGUCGGCUCAACUCUGAUCUGCUCACGUUGAAUAUUACACAUGUUCAUUAUGAGAAUGUGAAAAUGCCACACAUGUAUGUUAGAGACGUGUUAUGUUGUUUUUACUUGAAUCAUACACCUGUUUUUGUUUCUUUUUGAGAACUGUCACUUGUGAACGUUGAGCUUAGAGGAAUGAAACUCUCAUAGAGCUGUUGUAAUGACGAUCGCUGCCCUGAAAUAUCAAUCCCAGAGAUCUCCCUGCCCAGAGUGCCACAUCUGAGCCUUAAACUGUACAGACGAACCCCAUGAGUGUUUAUGUCCUUGUUUGUUUUCCAACGCAGUGUCAUGUGCAGCAUCGCCGCCCUGCUGACUGUUUCCCACUCAAGCAACUCCAAUAAAAUCUCAAUUCCAUUUCU